rnacentral:sRNA from 1 species
UUGACUAUCAAAAUUGUCUUCUCUAAGAUUACAACCACUGGCUUCGCGGCCAGUGGAUAAACUGAAAACCGCAGCAGUGCAGCUUUCAGAUUAUCUCCUCAUCAGGCUAAUCACGGUUAUUGACCCACCUUUCGGUGGGUCUUUUUUUG